ACAGCUGCGACGCAAUUGUUUUCUUCAAUAUUCUGACUUGCUCCAAAUGACCUAAAUCUAUCGAAACCAGUUAAGCCCAAAACAUCCGUUCUCACCGGCUUCACCCUUCCGUUUACCAGCUUCACUGCCGUCGUCUUCCCUCCUUCUGCGUCGUUCUCUCCUUCCCCUGCGCCGUUCAACUUGUUGUUCGUUCUCCUCUUCAACCUGCUGCUCGUUCUCUUCUUCCCCUGCGUCGUUCAACUCAAACUAAUCAGUGUCGCUGCUCCGUGUUAACGCCGCCUUCCACGGCAGCCGCCCACGCCGCCGCCCACUCCUCCGCUCCUGGUCACUGUCUUCUCUCCUCUCCUAGACAGGGCACUGACGUGUCUCUGAAGGAUCUUGACUACCUUUUGUCUCUACUUGAGGAAAAGAAGAGAAAGAUGGCCGGAGCAAGAAGAAGCUAGGGUUUGAAGCCAGUAAACUCGCUAAGAAUACAAGGAAAUGGUUAAGAUUGAAGCCAGUAAACUCGCUAAGAAGCAUCCACGUGUCUUGCAGAUGGAAUGAGCUACUAGGACGGUGGUUGACUGGUACUUUCAUUCCGGCAGAAAUAUUAAAAGUACAAGAGUUUGUGUUCUGUGAUGUUUACCAAGGCUUCAUGCGUAUCUUGUCCAACCCUAAACACUAUGGCAUCAAGGAAACAAGAGGAGCAUGUUGUGGAAUAGGGUGGCAUGGAGCAGCAUCGGGGUGCGACACCAUGGAGAUGGUUUGCAACCAAAGUACAGCUCAUGUAAUCCUUCUAAGGCCGUCAAUUAUCUGCUGGCCGACUCUGCCUGGUUCGGUCAUCCAUUGGGUGACAUCUUUCAUCCCUUGAGCGUCCGAGCACUGGUGAACAUAGCUUCAGCAGCAGCAGCAGCAGCAGGUGUUCUGGCAACAACAGUUAUCGAUUACAAGCUAGAAGCAGCAGCAGCAGUUCUGGCAGAAGUAGAAAGCAGCAAUUCUGGCAGCAGCCAGUUGAAACAAGAACAAAACCAAGCCAGCCUAAAGAGUGUUUAUUUUCACCAGUUGCUGGACUUUCUUGAAGUUCUCUGCCUUAACUGUGACUAUCACCGUUGGUAAUGCAUCCCAUCUUUGUAUUGAAAGUCAUAUCUUGAUUUGUCAUAGAUUUGAUUUCUAACAUCUUCCAUUUUUAUAUCCAGGAUAGAGAUAUUUACUUAAACUUUUAUGUUUAAAGUGUAGUUAGGUUAUCAACAUGUUGGUUGAUCUAUGGUGAAUUUGCCUUUUAUUGGGUUGUAAACUGUUUUGACAGGUAUAUAUUAAUGUAUUAUAACAUUCCCGGUAUUGGGGA